GACUGAGUGGCGGACGGGUGAGUAACGCGUGGGUAACCUGCCUCAUACAGGGGGAUAACAGUUAGAAAUGGCUGCUAAUACCGCAUAAGCGCACGGUACUGCAUGGUACAGUGUGAAAAACUCCGGUGGUAUGAGAUGGACCCGCGUUGGAUUAGCUAGUUGGCAGGGUAACGGCCUACCAAGGCGACGAUCCAUAGCCGGCCUGAGAGGGUGGACGGCCACAUUGGGACUGAGACACGGCCCAGACUCC
rnacentral:rRNA from 1 species